rnacentral:rRNA from 1 species
CUGCUAAGACUGGAUAGGAAACAAAAAGGCAUCUUUUUGUUUUUAAAAGACCUUCUUAUGAAGGUAUGCUUAAAGAGGGGCUUGCGCCACAUUAGUUAGUUGGUAGGGUAAAAGCCUACCAAGACGAUGAUGUGUAGCUGGACUGAGAGGUUGAACAGCCACAUUGGGACUGAGACACGGCCCAAACUCCUACGGGAGGCAGCAGUAGGGAAUUUUCGGCAAUGGAGGAAACUCUGACCGAGCAACGCCGCGUGAACGAUGAAGUAUUUCGGUAUGUAAAGUUCUUUUAUUGAAGAAGAAAAAGUAGUGGAAAAACUAUAUUGACGUUAUUCAAUGAAUAAGCCCCGGCUAACUAUGUGCCAGCAGCCGCGGUAAGACAUAGGGGGCGAGCGUUAUCCGGAAUUAUUGGGCGUAAAGGGUGCGUAGGCUGUUAGAUAAGUCUAUAAUUUAAUUUCAGUGCUUAACGCUGUCUUGUUAUAGAAACUGUCUUGACUAGAGUGAGAUAGAGGCAAGCGGAAUUCCAUGUGUAGCGGUAAAAUGUGUAAAUAUAUGGAGGAACACCAGAAGCGUAGGCGGCUUGCUGGGUCUUUACUGACGCUGAGGCACGAAAGCGUGGGUAGCAAACAGGAUUAGAUACCCUGGUAGUCCACGCCGUAAACGAUGAGUACUAAGUGUCGGGGUAAAACUCGGUACUGAAGUUAACACAUUAAGUACUCCGCCUGAGUAGUACGUACGCAAGUAUGAAACUUAAAGGAAUUGACGGGACUCCGCANAAGCGGUGGAUCAUGUUGUUUAAUUCGAAGAUACACGAAAAAUCUUACCAGGUCUUGACAUACUCUGCAAAGCUAUAGAAAUAUAGUGGAGGUUAUCAGGGAUACAGGUGGUGCAUGGUUGUCGUCAGUUCGUGUCGUGAGAUGUUAGGUUAAGUCCUAAAACGAGCGCAACCCUUGUCGUUAAUUGCCAGCACGUAAUGGUGGGGACUUUAGCGAGACUGCCAAUUAAACAUUGGAGGAAGGUGAGGAUUACGUCAAAUCAUCAUGCCCCUUAUGAUCUGGGCUACAAACGUGAUACAAUGGCUGUGACAAAGAGUAGCUGAAACGCGAGUUUUUAGCCAAUCUCAAAAAAGCAGUCUCAGUUCGGAUUGAAGUCUGUAACUCGACUUCAUGAAGUUGGAAUCGCUAGUAAUCGCGAAUCAGCAUGUCGCGGUGAAUACGUUCUCGGGGUUUGUACACACCGCCCGUCAAA